GAUGAACGCUAGCGAUAGGCUUAACACAUGCAAGUCGAGGGGCAGCACAAGGUAGCUUGCUAUCUGGGUGGCGACCGGCGCACGGGUGCGUAACGCGUAUGCAACUUGCCCUAUGCAGGAGGAUAACCCGUCGAAAGACGGACUAAUACUGCGUAUGCUCACAACUUGGCAUCAAGUGGUGAGGAAAGAAAUUCGGUAUAGGAUAGGCAUGCGUCCCAUUAGCUUGUUGGUGAGGUAACGGCUCACCAAGGCAACGAUGGGUAGGGGAACUGAGAGGUUUAUCCCCCACACUGGUACUGAGACACGGACCAGACUCCUACGGGAGGCAGCAGUGAGGAAUAUUGGUCAAUGGGCGCGAGCCUGAACCAGCCAAGUCGCGUGAAGGAUGACUGUCUUAUGGAUUGUAAACUUCUUUUAGACGGGAAUAACAAGAGUCACGUGUGACUCCCUGCAUGUACCGUAUGAAUAAGCAUCGGCUAACUCCGUG
rnacentral:rRNA from 1 species